UUUGAGUGAUACAUUUACAUAAUAGUUUCAAGAUGAUAUAAUCACUUUUGUAAUAAUAUAAUCACAUUUCGUAUGAUAUAAUCACAUUCGUAUGCUAUACUAGAAGGUUGGAUCUACAAUAAGUUAUUGUAGACCGGGUCUAUUCUAGUCUUAAUAAUGAAAAUAUACAUAAAUGAUAAUCCAAAAAUAUUUUACAUGAACAUAAGUAUAUUUUUAAUAUAUUGGUAAAAAAAAGAAAAAAAAAAUGAAUUUACUAUUUAGUAUUUACCCUUUUGCUACGGAUUUUAUAAAGAGAUAAAAAAAAUUAAUUAAAAAAAAAAAUCGUGUAAACCUCUUGCAUAAUUUCGCUGUAGAGAAAUCAGAUUUAGGUCUCAAAACAUUGGCUUUCUGCACUGAUUGAAUUCCUAUCAUCAUAAUUCACAAUCAUCAUCUUCUUCCUCAAUUCGGACAAUCAAUACCAUUCACAAACCCCCUUUUCCUUCAUUUCUACCCCAAAAAAAACACCUCAAAUUCUUCUCCUAAAACCUUCAACAGUCAAUCUUGGAUUCCCCACAAUUCUGAAAUACCCCAUCAAAUCAAAAUCAUAUAUAUAUAAAAAAAAACUCAAUCCAAUUCAUCAAUGGCGAAUUCAUCUAUAAUGGACUCAUUCUUUCAACGCUCAAUAGAUGAUUUAAUCAAAGGAAUUCGACUUCAUUCCCCAGAAUCAUCAACACCCCUUUCAUCUUUCCUCUCAAAAGCUAUUGAAGAAAUUCGUCGCGAAAUAAAAUCAACAGACCCACAAAUGAAAUCAACUGCACUUCUCAAAUUAACUUAUCUUCAUUCAAUUUAUGGGUUUGAAAUUUCUUGGGCUGCUUUUCAUGUAGUAGAAGUAAUCAGUUACCCUCAAUUCAAUUUCAAAAGAAUUGGGUAUUUAGCUGCUUCUGCUACUUUCAAUGAAUCUACUGAAGUUCUUCUUCUUGUUACGAAUCAAUUCAGGAAAGAUCUUUCCAGUUCUAAUGAUUUUGAGGUCAGUCUUGCUCUUCAAUGUUUAUCAAUUAUUGGUACGCCUGAUUUGUGCCGUGAUUUGUGCAAUGAUUUGUUUACAUUGUUGUCUAGUACUAGACCUUAUGUUAAAAAGAAGGCGAUUGCUGUAUUUCUGAGGGUUUUUAACAAAUACCCAGAUGCUGUUAGAGUGUGUUUUAAGAGAUUAGUUGAUAAUUUGGAGAGUACUGAUCCUCAGGCUGUUUCGGCCGCUGUUGGGGUGUUUUGUGAGCUUAGUUUACGAGACACGAAAACGUAUUUGCCAUUAGCGCCCGAGUUCUAUCGAAUUUUGCUUGAUUGUAAGAAUAAUUGGGUGUUGAUCAAGGUGUUGAAGAUGUUUGCUAAGUUGGCAUUGUUAGAGCCUAGGUUAGGGAAGAAGAUUGUUGGUCCAAUUUGUGAGAUUAUGCAGCGGUCCAUGGCGAAAUCAUUGGUGUUUGAGUGUAUAAGAACUGUUGUGAGUAGCUUGAGUGAUCAUGAGUCUGCUGUUAAGCUUGCUAGUGUGAAGAUUAAGGAGUUUUUGAGUGAGGAUGAUCCUAAUUUGAAAUAUCUCGGGUUACAGGCGCUUUCUGAUUUAGCUACGAAGCACUUGUGGGCUGUGUUGGAGAAUAAGGAUGUUGUGCUUAAGUCUCUUAGUGAUGUCGAUUCUAAUAUCAAGCUAACUUCGUUGCGGCUUCUCAUGUCUAUGGUGUCAGAGGAUAAUGUGGCUGAGAUUACCAAGGUUUUGGUUAAUUAUGCCCUGAAGUCUGACCCUGAAUUCUGUAAUGAGAUCCUCAGAUCGAUACUGGUCACUUGCUCUGGGAAUUAUUAUGAGAUUGUUUUUGAUUUCGAUUGGUAUGUAUCACUUCUUGGGGAAAUGGCUAGGGUUCCACAUUGUCAAUCAGGGGAGGAAAUUGAGAACCAACUUGUUGAUAUUGGUAUGAGAGUAAAGGAUGCCAGACCUGAGCUAGUCAAGGUUGGCCGGGACCUUUUAGUUGAUCCUGCAUUACUUGGUAAUCCUUUCUUACAUGGGAUACUAUCUGCUGCCGCGUGGGUUUCUGGUGAGUAUGUUGAGUUUUCAAGUAACCCAUAUGAACUGAUGGAGGCUUUGUUGCAGCCACGUACUAGUUUACUGCCAUCGUUAGUAAGAUCUGUCUAUAUUCAGUCCACAUUUAAGGUUUUAGUGUUUUGCCUUCAGUCUUAUCUCUGGCAGCAAGAUGUAGUGGAUGCUUCUUCCGUUGCUGAUGAUAUGGCAUCUUUAAGCUUUGAAUCUAAGUCUGGAUUGAAAUGCCUUGACAGCCAAGAUAAGUCAACACAUGAAGCUGUUGCAAAUUCUAAGCAAAUGAUGCCUGAGUCUGCAGUCGAAGAAUCUUACUCUUGGUCAUUUGGUGACUACGGCAUUGAAGGUGCCGUGCAAGAGAAACCCACUUUAUCGUUGCCCGAGAGAAAAACUUCAUCCCAAGAUGCAGUUGUUAAGCUGCUAAAUAUGACUGAAACAGCUCUAGGACCAUUAUUAUGGAGCGAUGAAGUGGAAAUACAAGAAAGGGCACGGAAUAUUCUUGGAGUUGUGCAUUUAGUAAAGGAAGACGUUCUUCAUUGUUCUGGACAUCAUGUUGACAAAUCAGGGAAGAAAGACUUUGAAGUUUCUGAAAUCGCUAAUCUCUUUGAUGAUCUUUUUGUUGAAGAGCUUGGUCCAAUCUCAGUAACUGCUCAAGCAAGAAUUCCUGUACCUGAUGAUCUUACUCUUAAAGAUAAUCUCACUGAUUUGGACUUGAUUUAUAGCGACAUUCAGCUAAAUCCACCAUCUACAUUUAGCCUUGGAACUUCUCGUUCCAGUGAGAAAGAUGAUUAUUUUCACUCUAAUGACCAAGGUGCAGAAGAUGUAGAUUCGUCAACAAUAUCUGGAUCUCUGCUUGCACAGCACCGCAAAAGACAUGGAUUAUAUUAUCUUUCUUCAGAAAAGGAUGACACAGGUUCUAAUGAUUACCCUCCCGCAAUUGAAAGUAAAAAUCUGGACAAGAACGGUAAUGAAGUGAAUGAUCUCGUGAAAUUGACUGACCAAUCACUUAAACUUAAGAAAAAACCAAGCCAUGCUAAGCCUAGGCCAGUGGUUGUCAAACUGGAUGAGGGUGAAAAUUUCAUACCUACAAAAAAGUUGGAGAUUACAGAGGAUUUGCUUUCUGGUGCAAUUAGGGAUGUUCUCUUAGGAAGUGAAGAAGUGUCUACUUCAUCAAAAUAUAGUGAAGCUGAUAAGCAACUUGUCGAAAGAAAAGGAAAGGAAACACUUGUCAUUGACGGUCAUCCUAAUCUGAGAGAACAGUCUGUUGCUGUAACCUCUGUGGUUGGGAAUUCGAGUUCUGGAAGAAGCAAACAUAAAAAUCAUAGUAAAGAGAGACGACACCAUAGCCAAGGUGAGAGUGAAGGGAAAGAAAGAAGUCAAAAGGAAAAGAAAAAGAGCAGUCGUCAUCGUCAUAGCAGACACAAAGAAGUAGAGAAACAGGGCAGCUCAAACAAUGGCUCCAUACAAACACAACAAAUCCCUGACUAUUUGCUAUAGCAUGAAACUUUGGAAUGAUAUUUGUGAAUCUAUACCUUGUUUUUUUUUUCUUUUCAGAAACGAACAAGUUUUCUUCAAUCUCCUGGAAUAUUGAGUCUAUCCAUCUCUGUUUGCGGGGUCAAAGAUUUUGCUGUGCUUGUUCAGCCGGAUAUUUCCUCUUACUCCGUAUUAAUUUUAACAUUUUCUCAAUUCAGAAAUUUCAUACUCACUCUGUAUCUUAUAUGUAUACGUUGACACAUUUUGACCAUAAAACUAUGUACAUAAGUUAAUUUGACUUCCUUUAAUGACUUAUACUUUAAGAAAUAACAUAUUCAUGUUGAGUCUCGUCAGAGUUGUCUAAAUGUACCUUUUUUCAAGUAUGAGUAUCAUUUUUUUUAAAAAAAUACCUAUUAAUUUUGGAGACACAUGUUAACUAAUGUGAAACGGAAAAAGUUUUAAUUACUCCCCGUCCCUUAAUUGAGAGCAUCUAUUGCUUUCUCGGGUGCCCAAGCCUAGUUCUAUUUAAAUAUUUUACUUUUUGAAAAUAAUCCCCUCUUUUUGAUGAGUUGUUAUCUUUAUUUUGUACAAAUGAUGAUUUUUUCUUCAAUUAACACUUUUUCUCGUCCACUCUAGUAAUUCCUAACCAUUUUUUCAGUCUAAUCCCACGUGCCAUUAUGCCAACCUGUACUCCCAAUCAACUUUUUAAAUUUCUUUUAAAAAAAAUCCAAAUAGACUCUUAAUUAAGAGACAGAGAGAGUCCUAUGUAUCAUUUACGGCAAUGUGUUUUCUUCUAUAUCUUUUCCCCAUCACACAUGGUACCUCUUUUUAAGAAAUCGAGA